rnacentral:rRNA from 1 species
GUGCCAGCAGCCGCGGUAAUACGAAGGGGGCUAGCGUUGUUCGGAAUUAUUGGGCGUAAAGAGCUCGUAGGCGGCCUGUUGCGUCCGCUGUGAAAUCCCGGGGCUUAACCCCGGGCCUGCAGUGGAUACGGGCAGGCUGGAGGCAGGCAGGGGAGAGCGGAAUUCCCGGUGUAGCGGUGAAAUGCGCAGAUAUCGGGAGGAACACCGGUGGCGAAGGCGGUUCUCUGGGCCUGUACUGACGCUGAGGAGCGAAAGCGUGGGGAGCGAACAGGAUUAGAAACCCUGGUAGUCC